AACGUCUACAUCAUCCACGAGUAUGACCACUACCGGUGCAGCGAGACCCUCUACAACGUCUACAUCAUCCACGAGUAUGACCACUACCGGUGCAGCCAUGGAAGAUGAUGACAUGGAGGAAGCACCUCUGGAUCUGGGACCACCUGAGAUUAUUAUGAACCUCACGGAAGUGACCACUGAGGACCUCGUUGAACAGGAUGUGGCCGUGGAGACAAACGAGAGAAACAGAGAGAAACAAAGAGGAACAACAUCACACCAGGCGUCAUCGGAGGUACCAGACCCCAGAUCCGCUCAACUCAUUUCAGCAAAGGCUCCUCCAAGUCGUCGAGAGGGAUGCAGCCCAACCUGAUGCUCACAGGAAGGAGGAUGAAGAGACCCUCUUUGCCAUGAGCCUGGUGCCAACACUGAAGAGACUGCCUCAGCAAAGAAAAGCAGCAGUCAAGGUUAAAAUGUAUCAGCUGCUUUUCGAAGCCGAGUUCAAUGAAAUUGAGUCAAUUUAGCCAACCAGCUCACAGGAAGAGGAGUUGUCUGGUUGUUUUGACCUCCCUCAUUGUACCUUUCUUUUCACACACGUCAGUUCUGUUUAAAUUCAGUCAAUUCAUAAAGUCAUUUGUUUAUAAAUUCUUAGGAUAGCAUUCAUUAUUAGUGUUACAUAGAUUUCUGAAUUGAAACUCAUACAGAGUUUUCACAGAUGCUCUUGGUCUCUUACGAGACUAAAGGUCAAUAUAUUUAUUUCCUUUAAAACCACUUGAAAACCAGGGUGUUGAAACUUUUUGUGAAGUUAUGUUCCAUCGACUGGUCCAUGACAUCCAGGGGCCAUUUGGUUGUUUAGCUGUGUUAUGGCUACAUAUUAUUUCCUUUUUUUCAGAGACAGAGACACACACACACACCUCUUCAUACCUCAGAUCUCCAGUGCCCUGCCCUCUCUCUUUAUGGCCAUGUCUGAAGUUCCCCUACUACGUCUAGGCUUUAUGAGUAGUCCCUUUAUCGGUCUGCAGUUGUGCCAAAAAUACAUGCUCUUGUUGUUCUCUUACAGAU